UACAGAGGGUGCGAGCGUUAAUCGGAAUUACUGGGUGUAAAGCGCGCGUAGGCGGUUUUGCAAGUCGGAUGUGAAAUCCCCGGGCUUAACCUGGGAACUGCAUUCGAGACUGCAUUGCUAGAGUAUGGGAGAGGGAAGUGGAAUUUCAGGUGUAGCGGUGAAAUGCGUAGAUAUCUGAAGGAACAUCAGUGGCGAAAGCGACUUCCUGGACCAAUACUGACGCUCAUGUGCGAAAGCGUGGGGAGCAAACAGG
rnacentral:rRNA from 1 species